GUGCUCUCUUCGGCAGCACAUAUACUAAAAAUUGGAAUGAUACAGAGAAGAGUACAUAGGCAAUGCGAAAGGAUGACACGCAAAUUUGUGAAGCAUUCCAUAAAUAA
ensembl:snRNA U6 U6 spliceosomal RNA